rnacentral:lncRNA from 1 species
ACAAUCAUCCAGAUGGUGCCGGAUUGAUCAGCCGUCAGUUUUGUUGUCUUUAAAUAAACCAGUUUUUUUUAUGAACUUUCGAUGAUGUUACUUCGAAAACUUUAGCAUUCCGAAGUGGGAUUACCGCUGAGCCUUCCCGGAACAGUGGUGGCUGCGACAGCCACGUUCACGCCGACGAACGUGAGUCUUCUUCGCGGGCGGUGGUGCGCGUCCAUUGUUUCCGCCACCGACGAGAGGCCGUUCAGUGUUCCCGUUGACUCGACGAGAAAGCACAGCCAUGGCCGCGGACCGUGAGCUCGUACGGACCCUGGCGUCGCAACCGGGCUUCGCAUCGGUGACCGCGAUGCCAGACUUGACGGUGUCCAUUCCCGCCUUCUCUGACUCGUCGUCGGCAGCGAGCGCCGUGAAGUGCGCGGGACUGGGAGGCGCAUAUCAACACGGUGGCGGCGCAACGCAGUCCGGGUGGAGCGAUGAAAUAACGCUCGCUGUUGCUUCAUCGAAGGUGAGCGGGACGGCUUGAGUGGCAUCCAACGACCGGGAAGCGACUGGAAACUUGGUCGAAAUGGGCUGAAGAACUACGGAUGGUGUUCCCCGAUGAUGACGAUUCGCACUCUACGAGAUGAUGCUCCGGCGGACACAGACCGGAACAAGCAGCCCACAAGAAAAAAAAAAAGACACUGUGGAGGACAAGCUUCUCAAAAAGCUUCGCCAGGAGCUGAAAGGUCACAGGCUCCGUGCAUCUUCUGGGGAUCCUGAGGACGUUGCAUCACAAGCUCGAGGACCUGUCUUCGCUGUACCUGCCCUGGCCUCUACUGAAGAGGCCUCUGCUAGGUCCAAGGAGUCCCGGAUAAAGGAGGGCGAGACCUGGGCCAACAAUGUCGAGACCAGGGCCAGUGAGCCUCAGACCGGGGCCGAAGCCAGGGCUAAUAAGGUCAAAGCCUGGGCCAACGAGGCCGAAACCAGGGCAGGGCCACCGAGGCUGAAGCCAGCAUGGAGCAGGUUGAGACCAGGACCGGCCUGACUGGGGGACGCUGAGGCUAGGGCGGCCGAGGCCAGAGCACAGGAGGUCGAGGUUGUAACGUAGCGUCCUCUGCUUCCGGAUGUAAGGUGGAACAGUAUAACCUAUUUGUCCAGGCCUAACUGCUCGAUGUCGCAAAUUUGCAACCUAAAAGAUUUUUUGCUUAGAAGUUCAUUUGCACCAAAAAUAACUUUAGUGAUCGAUUACAUAUACACAUUUGCAGGUACGUCCCCUGGGCGCCGCCAUCUUCCUAGCUGGAGAGCGCGUGAGCUGCGCCAUAACCUAAUUACGAUGCCUUGAGAAGAAGACGUAGUCAGAUUAUGGCGCGGCCCACAGUGUACCUAAGUACCCCCCAGUAAGCAAGAUGGCGGCGCCCAUAGGCCAUACUUACAAAGAUGUAUACAAAGCAAAAAAAUAAAGUUUAAAACAUUUUUCUUAUCUACACUUUGCUUUAAUUCCCUGCGUUAAAUGGUCAACAAGCUUCUUCAUAUCCCAAAAUGAGUACUACUGCUGCUACCAUUCUUUGUGAUUCUGUAAGUUUUUUUCGUUAAACUGAAUGCUGAUACAGGAGAGACUUUUUCAAAAUCAGGGUAGGCAAUAUCUGUGAUGGUAAAGCACUGAAUCGUGAUGCGAGAGCUGACCCUGCUUGGGUUUGGAGUUUGACUGUCUCUAUGUUUACACACAGUGUCAAUUUUCAUGCCUCAAUUUGCUGUUCUCCUUACAGGAAUAGCUUGUGCAUUUCUCUUUAAAGUUGCAGCUGUACAUAGGUGAAAUGGGGCCACUCAUAGUAUGAUAUAGAGUGGCAGCAGCAUUCUUACUCGAUUUGGGAACGGUUUGUGAAGCGGCGUGUUGACAGUGAGUGCCCGUGUCGAAAGCAGUGAAAUAUGCACAAAAAUACUGAAUGUGCACUAGGAGAGAAAUUUUGAAAAUAAAAGUGACAGCCACUGAACUGAGCUGACUAAGAUCAGGGAAUGAGAUUUGAGGGGCAUUGGGGUGGCGAAGCAGUCUGAAGGGAGAGCAAUAUUUCUAGUGCAAGUUAAAGGGCUCGGAUAAUUUCACAAAUGGUUUCUUUAUGGUGAGUAUACACAUGUCCAGCAUGGGAUUUCAGGCUUGGAUUUCACAGCUUCAUGCUUUCCCACCAUUCAUAUUAAAAGUUUGAAGUCUAGGAGCAAGUUUGGUGCAGUGUUUGCUUUAAUCGUGUGCACUUUUAAUUUUCCUUAAUGUUAAACCAGGUGUCACAUGUGUGUAACUUCAAAGCGCCUGUGAUUUCAGUGUUGACUGUUGAACCAGUAAUUUUCUUAUAAUUUGAUGCUUCCUACCGGCAGGUGUGCCACCCCUUGUUGCGGCUAUGGAGACUCGUGGAGUGGCAGGCCCUGUGGUUCAAGAGGAUAUUGUGUAGAAUAUGAUAACCUUUGGAGACAUUGCGCUUCCUGAAGCGCAGUUGAAGCAUGUCGACACGAAGCAGCCAUCCAUUUACGUUCAGGAACUCGCGGUCAUGGUAUUUGAAACUGAGGCCCUGACAAACUGCUGCCUUACGGGGUCGGCAAUGAAGGGAAAGCUUCCUAAAAAGGGAGUUAAGGACUUGAUAGCUUUUGUUACUGCCAAUUCCCUGGAGAAACUCGGAAGUUUGUGAAAGAAUACCUGUAAAGGAAGUGCAGCAAUGCUUCCUACACUUCAAAACAAAGCCUCCAACACACAGAAGAAAACUGCAGAAUGAAAAAAAAAAAAAAAAAAAUUAGCUUUCAUUUUUAUUUAUUUUGCGCAUUGGCUUUUUUUUUCUCUUAAAUCUGAUUAGCGAUUAAUUUAGAUUUUAUUUAACAAGUGCAUUAACUUUUUUCAUUCAUUUUACUUCAGUCAUGUAGGUGAUGUUACUUCAGUCAUGGUAGAUGAUAAAUAUUGUAGGUUUUAUAUUAACAGGUGCAAUACUAUUUUUGCUCGUUUUUCUUCAGCAUGAUAGUUUGUAAUUAUUUUUUUCUUCUAAUAAGAGCUUGUUUAUAAAGCUUUAAGUGCAUCUGUGAUAUUUGUAAGCCACUAAAAGUAUUACGUUUUUUGUUCCAUCGUAAGUGUUUGUUGUAGGCAACAUGUGUUCAUUCUAUUGAAAAAAAUAUUUGUUUAAUAAAAAGUUCUUACUUUAAUUUGUCAUCACUUUGAACUCGUCUACAUUAAAGCCUGUAACAUAAUG